AAGAUAUUUUUGAAGCCUUUCGAACGUGUCAAAUUGAUUCAAAUUCAUUUAAGAGUAUUUGAUAGUGUUCUGAUAAGUUUUGAAUCUUAAAUAUAUGAAAAAUUGAGUUGAAAUAAAAUAGAGUGAUCCAAUUGGAUCAUUCCCUUUUAUUGGAUAGCCGGCACGCACUGUUUUGACUUGUGGCAUGCAGUGGGACGACCCAUGGGUCGACCCCUGAGACCCUGAGAUCAAAAUAGAGAG
rnacentral:lncRNA from 1 species